rnacentral:rRNA from 1 species
GAUGAACGCUGGCGGCGUGCCUAAUACAUGCAAGUCGAGCGAAUGGAUUAAGAGCUUGCUCUUAUGAAGUUAGCGGCGGACGGGUGAGUAACACGUGGGUAACCUGCCCAUAAGACUGGGAUAACUCCGGGAAACCGGGGCUAAUACCGGAUAACAUUUUGAACCGCAUGGUUCGAAAUUGAAAGGCGGCUUCGGCUGUCACUUAUGGAUGGACCCGCGUCGCAUUAGCUAGUUGGUGAGGUAACGGCUCACCAAGGCAACGAUGCGUAGCCGACCUGAGAGGGUGAUCGGCCGGACUGGGACUGGCACACGGCCCAGACUCCUACGGGAGGCAGCAGUAGGGAAUCUUCCGCCAUGGACGAAAGUCUGACGGAGCAACGCCGCGUGAGUGAUGAAGGCUUUCGGGUCGUAAAACUCUGUUGUUAGGGAAGAACAAGUGCUAGUUGAAUAAGCUGGCACCUUGACGGUACCUAACCAGAAAGCCACGGCUAACUACGUGCCAGCCGCCGCAGUAA